rnacentral:rRNA from 1 species
UACGAAGGGUGCAAGCGUUACUCGGAAUUACUGGGCGUAAAGCGUGCGUAGGUGGUGAGUUAAGUCUGAUGUGAAAUCCCCGGGCCCAACCUGGGAAUGGCAUUGGAUACUGGCUCGCUAGAGUGCGGUAGAGGGUGGUGGAAUUCCCGGUGUAGCAGUGAAAUGCGUAGAGAUCGGGAGGAACAUCUGUGGCGAAGGCGGCCACCUGGACCAACACUGACACUGAGGCACGAAAGCGUGGGGAGCAAACAGG